rnacentral:rRNA from 1 species
AUUGAACGCUGGCGGCAGGCUUAACACAUGCAAGUCGAACGGAGUGGCGUACGGGUGAGUAAUGCUUGGGAAUCUAGCUUAUGGAGGGGGAUAGCUACGGGAAACUGUAGCUAAUACCGCGUACCAUAGGAUGAGCCCAAGUGGGAUUAGGUAGUUGGUGAGGUAAAGGCUCACCAGGCCGCCGAUCUCUAGCUGGUCUGAGCGGAUGACCAGCCACACUGGGACUGGAACACGGUCCAGACUCCUACGGGAGGCAGCAGGGGGGAAUAUUGGACAAUGGGCGAAAGCCUGAUCCAGCCAUGCCGCGUGUGUGAAGAAGGUCUUCGGAUUGUAAAGCACUUUAAGUUGGGAGGCGUUACCAACAGAAUAAGCACCGGCUAACUUCGUGCCAGCAGCCGCGGUAAUA